rnacentral:rRNA from 1 species
ACAAUGCGGAACUUUUAGUUUUGCAAUUGGAUUGAGAACAAUGUACAAAUGUUAUCGAUAAACAAUUGGAGGGCAAGUCUGGUGCCAGCAGCCGCGGUAAUUCCAGCUCCAAUAGCGUAUAUUAACGUUGUUGCAGUUAAAAAGCUCGUAGUUGAAAUGUGGGAUGAAGUAUAUAAUGAAUUUCUAAUUCAAUUCUAUAUUGAUUCCCCUCUCCAAUUUAUUAUUAUGGGUAUUAAUUUAUUUGUAAUAAGAAUUGGUCAUUUACUGUGAGAAAAUUAGAGUGUUCAAAGCAGGCAUUUGCUUGAAUAGAUUAGCAUGGAAUAAUACUAAAAGGCUUUUAUGGUCGAUUUAAUUGGUUUGUUCAUAAAAGCAAGAUUAAAAGGAACAGUUGGGGGUAUUCAUAUUCAAUAGUUAGAGGUGAAAUUCUCGGAUUUAUGGAAGAUGAACAAGUGCGAAAGCA